UACGGGGGGGGCAAGCGUUGCUCGGAAUUACUGGGCGUAAAGGGCCCGUAGGCGGCCAACUAAGUCGGAUGUGAAAUCCCCAGGCUCAACUUGGGAACUGCAUCCGAUACUGGAUGGCUUGAAUUCGGGAGAGGGAUGCAGAAUUCCAGGUGUAGCGGUGAAAUGCGUAGAUAUCUGGAGGAAUACCGGUGGCGAAGGCGGCAUCCUGGGCCGACAUUGACGCUGAACGGCGAAAGCUAGGGGAGCAAACGGG
rnacentral:rRNA from 1 species